rnacentral:rRNA from 1 species
AUGGCUGCCGGCAGCGCCACCUCGGGCUCCUGCGCGCUCCUCGUCUCCAUCCUUUCCGCCGCGCUCCUCUUCGGCGUAGGGGAGGCCGGGGCUGUGCGCAAGGCGGUCGACCCGGAGUGGCAUCAGGCCACCGCGACCUGGUACGGCAGCGCCGAGGGCGACGGCAGCGAUGGCGGCGCGUGCGGGUACGGGACGCUGGUGGACGUGGUGCCGAUGAAGGCCCGCGUGGGCGCGGUGAGCCCGGUGCUGUUCAAGUCCGGCGAGGGCUGCGGCGCCUGCUACAAGGUGAGGUGCCUCGACCGCGGCAUCUGCUCGCGCCGCGCCGUCACCGUCAUCGUCACCGACGAGUGCCCCGGCGGCUACUGCUCCCUGGGCCGCACGCACUUCGACCUCAGCGGCGCCGCCUUCGGCAGGCUGGCCGUCGCCGGCCACGCCGGCCAGCUGCGCAACCGAGGCGAGAUCUCCGUCGUCUUCCGCAGGACGCCGUGCAAGUACCGGGGGAAGAACAUCGCCUUCCGCGUGGUCGAGGGCUCCACGACCUUCUGGCUCUCGCUUCUGGUGGAGUUCGAGGACGGCGACGGUGACAUUGGAUCCAUGCAGCUCAAGCAGGCAAACUCGGCACAAUGGCAGGACAUGAAGCACAUAUGGGGUGCCACCUGGAGCCUCACGCCGGGCCCAUUGGUGGGACCGUUCUCUGUUAGGCUGACGACCCUAACUACAAAGAAGACCCUCUCGGCCCAAGACGUCAUCCCUAGGAACUGGACUCCCAAAGCAACAUACACAUCUCGUCUCAACUUCGCAUAG